rnacentral:rRNA from 1 species
AGUGAACGCUGGCGGUAGGCCUAACACAUGCAAGUCGAACGGCAGCACAGUAAGAGCUUGCUCUUACGGGUGGCGAGUGGCGGACGGGUGAGGAAUACAUCGGAAUCUACUUUUUCGUGGGGGAUAACGUAGGGAAACUUACGCUAAUACCGCAUACGACCUACGGGUGAAAGCAGGGGAUCUUCGGACCUUGCGUGAUUGAAUGAGCCGAUGUCGGAUUAGCUAGUUGGCGGGGUAAAGGCCCACCAAGGCGACGAUCCGUAGCUGGUCUGAGAGGAUGAUCCGCCACACUGGAACUGAGACACGGUCCAGACUCCUACGGGAGGCAGCAGUGGGGAAUAUUGGACAAUGGGCGCAAGCCUGAUCCAGCCAUACCGCGUGGGUGAAGAAGGCCUUCGGGUUGUAAAGCCCUUUUGUUGGGAAAGAAAAGCAGCAGGUUAAUACCCCGCUGUUCUGACGGUACCCAAAGAAUAAGCACCGGCUAACUUCGUG